UGCUGACAUCACAGGGAGCGCGACUGAGUCCUGCUAACCGGACCGCGUCCUGUCAGCGUCCACACCGGGAUCUCCACUGUUGUGGACCCGAGAGUGGUCGCGCUCCCUGUGACGUCACAGCCGGCGACGGGGUCUCCAGGCGGCGGCGGCAGCGAUUGAUCCCGUGAUUCCCCGGGGCGGCCCCGGCUCUCUCGAUACUAAUCAGUUGAUGCAUUUGAUUGAUGAAUUCGGAGACACGGCUUCAUCAUCUCUAUCGAUUUUCCGAUGAUUUAUUUCCCAGCCAACACAACAUGGAGACAAAUCCAUAAGGGACGAGGUUUUUCUUGAGUAUUGUGGAGGGAGAUG